UAUCGACGAGUUUGAUCAUGGCUCAGGAUGAACGCUAGCGGGAGGCCUAAUACAUGCAAGUCGAGCGGUAUAGAGACUUCGGUUUCUAGAGAGCGGCGCACGGGUGAGUAACGCGUACAUGACCUACCUUCAAGCCUGGGAUAGCCCUGGGAAACUGGGAUUAAUACCGGAUGUGAUAAUAAGUUUGGAUAUUUAUUAUUAAAGUUACGGCGCUUGGAGAUGGGUGUGCGUCUGAUUAGCUAGUUGGCGAGGUAACGGCUCACCAAGGCGACGAUCAGUAGGGGGCGUGAGAGCGUGACCCCCCACACGGGUACUGAGACACGGACCCGACUCCUACGGGAGGCAGCAGUAAGGAAUAUUGGUCAAUGGGCGAAAGCCUGAACCAGCCAUCCCGCGUGCAGGAUGAAGGUCCUAUGGAUUGUAAACUGCUUUUAUCAGGGAAGAAACGCCUUCAUUCAUGAGGGUCUGACGGUACCUGAGGAAUAAGCACCGGCUAACUCCGUG
rnacentral:rRNA from 1 species